rnacentral:snRNA from 1 species
GGGUGCGGGGGCGAUCUGGCUGCAACAUCCGUACCCCACUGAUCGCCAGGGUUGGCUCGGCUGAUCUGGAUGGCUAGGUGGGUGUCCCCUUCCUCCCUCACUGCUCCACGUGCAGCCCUCCCAGAGCUGUGCGCUUGGUGGAGGAGGGUGACCUUCCCGCAUGGAGGAGGACCGUUCUUCGUCAGGGGUAUAUGAGUUAGCUGCGUUCCCCUGCCGGAACCUCCAGCCAAGCUCUCAAGGUCCAUUUGUAGGAGAAUGUAGGGUAGACAAGCUUCCAAGACUCCAGACACGUCCACAUGAGGUGCUGCAUGUGGCAGUCUGCCUUUCUUU